CCUACGGGCGGCAGCAGUGGGGGAUAUUGCACAAUGGGGGAAACUCUGAUGCAGCGACGCCGCGUGGGCGAAGAAGUAUUUCGGUAUGUAAAGCUCUAUUAGUAGGGAAGAAGAAACAACGGUACCUGAGUAAGUAGCACCGGCUAAAUACGUGCCAGCAGCCGCGGUAAUACGGAGGGUGCAAGCGCUAUCCGGAUUUACUGGGUGUAAAGGGAGCGCAGGCGGCAGGGUAAGCCUGAUGUGAAAGCCCGCGGCCCAACCGCGGAACUGCAUUGGGAACUACCGGGCUGGAGUGCCGGAGCGGUAGGCGGAAUGCAUGGUGUAGCGGUGAAAUGCGUAGAGAUUAGGAGGAACACCAGUGGCGAAGGCGGCCUACUGGACGGUGUCUGACGCUGAGGCACGAAAGCGUGGGGAGCAAACAGGAUUAGAUACCCCUGUAGUC
rnacentral:rRNA from 1 species